rnacentral:tRNA from 1 species
GCCUGGGUGGCUCAGUCAGUUAAGCAUCUGACUUCAGCACAGGUCAUGAUCUCACAGUUCAUGGGUUCAAGCCCCAUGUCGGGCU